CUAAAUCACAUGAAAUCUAGAACGCUCGUCGUGACCGUACAAUUGCGCGGCUAACAGUGAAUGACCACGAACAACUGAGUAUAGAAAAUUAACAAAUUUAUGGAACACAACUGGCAAAGGUGUACAAUGGCGGACUUCACUCAAGUGCCCUCUGGUGGUGGCUGAAGUGGCAACAGUAGUAUUAGAGGAGAGUUUGUAGUGUUAAUGAUAGACACUGGAGUAGGUGUUGAUGCUUCCUGAAAAAAAUAUGAAUGAAAGACAUGUCCUGUUUACUAUAUAGACCUGGGGAGAGAUGCUAGCCUGACACGACCACACAUUUAUCCAAUGUGUAACGCCCGACAGCAGAAAUUUGUGCAGUCGGAGGAAUGCAGAGUUGCAGGUUGUCAGUGAUCUGCCAAGAGAAGAUCCAUGGCAAGGUCUGAAGUGAUAGAAACGGCUGUCGGCCAGAAACUGCUCACCAAACUUAAUCAGGAGAUCAUGCAUCAUUGACUAUCAUACCGAGCUCUCCUGUCAGAGGAGGCCAGGAAAGGGUGAACAAGAUUGUGGAUGCAUCAUUUGAGGAUAUCAAGGAAACUUUUGGAUUGGGAAACCUGUCAAACAGAGCAUCAAGGAGUUCCACAAGAGUGUCAACAAUGAAUGGGCUGAUUUGAAAUAAAGAUGGCUGCCUUGAACCCUGAUUUGCUAAGACAUUUUCAUGUCAAUUUCCAUCAGACAACUACAGAUUUAUCUCCCCUUGGAGAAGUCUCCACUCAGCACAGCUGCCCUCCAUGUCACUGAGGUGUAGCUGAUGACAGAUCCCUGGAAUAAUUGAUCUGAACUGUUUCAAUGGAAAUAAUCUGCCCAAUUAGAAUCCACAGGAAUACAGAUUAAUGACAGAUCUAAACCUUCAGUCCUGAUAUUUUUCCAGCAUAGACAUUUGGAUUAUAGCCCUGUGGAAAAUAAAUAGGUUGAGUACAUUAUGUGCUUGAUACAAAUCGAGGUAGAGAAACAAACGAGAUGGGAUACCUCUGAAUAUACAAUUUUAGUCCCGAUACAAAGGUGGUCUUGAUAAAUAAAGAUUAUAUU